rnacentral:rRNA from 1 species
GAGCACGUAGGUGGGUUUGUAAGUCAGAUGUGAAAGCCUUCUGUUCAACGGAAGAAUUGCAUCUGAAACUGCGAGUCUUGAGUGUAGGAGGGGAGAAUGGAACUUCUGGUGGAGCGGUGAAAUGCGUAGAUAUCAGAAGGAACUCCGGCGGCGAAAGCGAUCCUCUGGCCUAUUAUUGACACUCAGUGUGCGAAAGCUAGGGGAGCAAACGGGAUUAGAUACCCCGGUAGUCCUAGCCGUAAACGAUGGGCACUAAGUAGAGGGGUUUU